rnacentral:lncRNA from 1 species
UAUUUAAAAUUUAAUUUUUUUGUAAAUAUAUUAUUUUUAGAGGUAUUUUUUAAAAAUAUAAAUAGUUUUCGGGACGGAUUUGGAGCAUGUUAAGAUUUUUUCUAUUUCUGCCCUGAAUUCGCCUCGGAUCAUAAAAAUUACUCCGUUUUCUGUCCCGAAAUCGUUUGUUUUUUUACCCAUUUACUGUCUCAUUUACGGUAGAUCAAGGCAGGAGCUCCACCAACCUGAAUCCAUUUGCAUUCCUAAAUGUACGAACGUUAGCAGGUCGGUUUUCGCCAAUUCUUAGAAAAAUUGAACCAAAUUCGAGGGUCAUCACCAAAACUGAAAUCGAAAAAAUUGAAUUUUAAAAAUUCAUAACCAAAAUCGAAACCCUAGCUGAAACUGAAUAACCAAAGCCAAAUUUACUGUAUUAUAGAUUGAAUGAAAUUAUGCCAAAUGAUUAAAAUUUAGUAACUAGAAGUGCUAAUUUUGACAUGCAUUUAAUAAUAAAUACCAACUAGAAUAUUUACUAAUUAUUGAAGAUAGACCCAAUGGUCCAUGUAAAUUACAUAUACAUUUAUAUUAUACAUGUAAUCUGUGGCUUCCAUUUUGGAUUUAGUUGGAUAUUAGCAAAAAAUUGUAAAAUCCUUGUGUUUUUGUUGCUAUAACCAAAAUUAUCACCGUUUAGCAUCAGUUAAAAUUGUCUUAGGUACGGUUAAUAUUAUUCGAGUGGUCACCAAUUCGAUAGUUGAACCGUUGGUUCAAAUGGUUCAAAACUAUUUUUUUGGCUUAUCCGAUUUAGAAGGUCGGAUCGAACCGUUUUGCAGAUUGUGUCACAGUCGGACUGGUCAAACCGAGCAGUUCAAUUGGAUUUUUAAAUUAUUGAUAUCUGUAGGAGAAUGUCACUAUCAGAAAUUCUGCACACUCGGCAUACCAAUGCAUGGCUCUUCACCACCGUGUACGGUCUAUUCAAUGGCCAAAAAGGUUAUGGCACCAAUACCGUGAUGCUUCUAAACGCACCAGAACCGAACUUUAUAAAAUUGAGCUGGAAUGCUUUUAAAAGCAUUAAGGCUUUGUACUUACAAUGUUUUAGCCUCUUGAUAUAUCUCUUUGACCAUUAGAUUAAAAGUCAAUAAAGGUCGCUACUUGUGAGGUCCGCCAUUGUGCAUAAUCUAAGGGUUAUUAAGUCUUUUCAGAUUAAUCUUUUCUGUACUGCUGAUUAAGUCUUAGUAUUUUAGCUUCCGCCUGGAAAUAAAAUAAAUAAAUAAACUUGUUAAAUAGCAAUAAAACCAAACUAGACCAAAAAUUGCCUGUUUGGUUUGGUUUUGUGGUUUGCAAACGGGGCAGAUGUUGGGUCGGGUUCGUGAUGGGUUAAAAAAAAUUAUCCCAUAAACCCCAAAUCUGCCCUGCCGCCCCAAAUCUGCCCUGCCGACUAAUAUUUUUUUUUUCACAUAUUAUUAAAGUUUUGUGCAUAUGAAUUAACAAUUUUUUAAUAGUAAUGGAUAAUAUUAUCUAGUUAUAUAUAUAAAAUUAACAACAUCAACUAUGAAAAUCAAAGAUUGCAGUAACAAUUCGGGAUAAAAUUCAAAAGUUUAAAAUACACACGUAUUAAAGAAAAACAAAAUCUAUUAAAAUUACAAUACCAGCUUGAGAAAUGAGCGCACACACUUAUUUAAAAUUUAAUUUUUUUGUAAAUAUAUUAUUUUUAGAGGUAUUUUUUAAAAAUAUAAAUAGUUUUCGGGACGGAUUUGGAGCAUGUUAAGAUUUUUUCUAUUUCUGCCCUGAAUUCGUUUCGGAUCAUAAAAAUUAUCCUGUUUUCUGUCCCGAAAUCGUUUGUUUUUUUACCCAUUUAUUGUUUCAUUUACGGUAGAUCAGGGCAGGAGCUCCACCAACCCGAAUCCAUUUGCAUU